GGUACUUAACGGUAUCCGCUUCCUGCUCGAAGCUGUUACCCACCGGGUUCUAAGGUCGCCAAACCGAAGAUAUCCGGGCAAAGAACCCACCUUACGGUGGGUUUUUUGUUU
rnacentral:antisense_RNA from 1 species